UACGUAGGGCGCGAGCGUUGUCCGGAAUUACUGGGCGUAAAGCGCACGUAGGCGGCUCUUUAAGUCGGGGGUGAAAUCCUGGAGCUCAACUCCAGAACUGCCUUCGAUACUGAAGAGCUCGAGUCCGGGAGAGGUGAGUGGAACUGCGAGUGUAGAGGUGAAAUUCGUAGAUAUUCGCAAGAACACCAGUGGCGAAGGCGGCUCACUGGCCCGAUACUGACGCUGAUGCACGAAAGCGUGGGGAGCAAACAGG
rnacentral:rRNA from 1 species